GUGCUCGCUUCAGCAGCACACAUACUAAAAAUUGGAAUGAUACAGAGAGGAUCAGCAUGGCCCCUGCACAAGGAUGACACGCAAAUUCAUGAAGCAUUCCAAAAAAAC
ensembl:snRNA U6 U6 spliceosomal RNA